rnacentral:rRNA from 1 species
UACGAAGGGGGCUAGCGUUGCUCGGAAUCACUGGGCGUAAAGGGUGCGUAGGCGGGUCUUUAAGUCAGGGGUGAGAUCCUGGAGCUCAACUCCAGAACUGCCUUUGAUACUGAAGAUCUUGAGUCCGGGAGAGGUGAGUGGAACUGCGAGUGUAGAGGUGAAAUUCGUAGAUAUUCGCAAGAACACCAGUGGCGAAGGCGGCUCACUGGCCCGGUACUGACGCUCAUGUUCGAAAGCGUGGGGAGCAAACAGG